CAGCUUUAUCCCAGCAAACGCCACUGGAAGUGCUGCUUGUGUCGGCGCUAGGGGAAGCGUGGGGCAGAAAACACUUGUCACCAGAGUGCAGGAAUGAGGACACACAAAUGGUGGAUGGCCCCAAAUGCAGAAAGUGUGUCCAAAAGUUGAAGAUUUGUCACGCGAAACUCUGCGUGCUGAAAUUUUACGUGA